AUUGAACGCUGGCGGUAUGCCUUACACAUGCAAGUCGAACGGUAGAGGGGCAACCCUUGAGAGUGGCGAACGGGUGAGUAAUACAUCGGAACGUGCCCAGUCGUGGGGGAUAACGUAGCGAAAGCUACGCUAAUACCGCAUACGACCCGAGGGUGAAAGCGGGGGACUCGCAAGGGCCUCGCGCGAUUGGAGCGGCCGAUGGCAGAUUAGGUAGUUGGUGGGGUAAAGGCCCACCAAGCCUGCGAUCUGUAGCUGGUCUGAGAGGACGACCAGCCACACUGGGACUGAGACACGGCCCAGACUCCUACGGGGGGCAGCAGUGGGGAAUUUUGGACAAUGGGCGAAAGCCUGAUCCAGCCAUACCGCGUGCGGGAAGAAGGCCUUCGGGUUGUAAACCGCUUUUGUACGGAACGAAAAGGUUCUUUCUAAUAAAGAGAGCUCAUGACGGUACCGCAAGAAUAAGCACCGGCUAACUACGUGCCAGCAGCCGCCGUAAAAC
rnacentral:rRNA from 1 species